rnacentral:rRNA from 1 species
UACGUAGGGGGCAAGCGUUGUCCGGAUUUAUUGGGCGUAAAGAGCUCGUAGGUGGUUCGGUAAGUCGGAUGUGAAAUCUCCAGGCUCAACCUGGAGGGGUCAUUCGAUACUGCCGUGACUAGAGGUCGGUAGGGGAGUGGAACUGCGAGUGUAGAGGUGAAAUUCGUAGAUAUUCGCAAGAACACCAGUGGCGAAGGCGGCUCACUGGUCCGGUACUGACGCUGAGGUGCGAAAGCGUGGGGAGCAAACAGG